UACCAGCACCCCGAGUGGUCGGGACGAUUAUUGGGCCUAAAGCAUCCGUAGCCGGUUCUACAAGUCUUCCGUUAAAUCCACCUGCUUAACAGAUGGGCUGCGGAGGAUACUAUGGAGCUAGGAGGCGGGAGAGGCAAGCGGUACUUAGUGGGUAGGGGUAAAAUCCGUUGAUCCAUUGAAGACCACCAGUGGCGAAGGCGGCGAACUUGACAGUUACUGACACUCAACUGCGAAAGCGUGGGGAGCAAACAGG
rnacentral:rRNA from 1 species